UACGGAAGGCAGCAGUGGGGAAUAUUGCACAAUGGGCGCAAGCCUGAUGCAGCCAUGCCGCGUGUAUGAAGAAGGCCUUCGGGUUGUAAAGUACUUUCAGUCGUGAGGAAGGUGUUAAGGUUAAUAACCUUAGCAAUUGACGUUAGCGACAGAAGAAGCACCGGCUAACUCCGUGCCAGCAGCCGCGGUAAUACGGAGGGUGCGAGCGUUAAUCGGAAUUACUGGGCGUAAAGGGCACGCAGGCGGUUAAUUAAGUUGGAUGUGAAAUCCCCGGGCUUAACCUGGGAAUGGCAUUCAAGACUGGUUAGCUAGAGUCUUGUAGAGGGGGUAGAAUUCCAUGUGUAGCGGUGAAAUGCGUAGAGAUGUGGGGGAAUACCGGUGGCGAAGGCGGCCCCUGGCAAAGACUGACGCUCAUGUGCGAAAGCGUGGGGAGGCAAACAGGGAGUUAGAUACC
rnacentral:rRNA from 1 species